UUACGGCCUCACCAAAGGUGAAACACCGGUUCCCGUACUAUCACCGAAGUUAAGCAACAUCAAGCCUGUCAGUAGCUAGAUGAGUGACCGCUUGGAAAUACAAGGUGCUGUAA